CUUUAUUUCUCUGCAAGCAUCACUAAAUUCUGCUGUCAUCAAGAGCAGAUAUAUAGUAGUUGACUCAGUAAGUGUAAAUGCUCAGAAUAAGUUAAAUAUGUGGUUACAGUUUUUGUUUAACAUCCAGGUACAGCUAUGGAUGCACUUAAUAGCAUGCAGAAUUUCUUACGGGGUCGUCCUAAAACCUUCAAGUCUCUGGAGAAUGCUAUUGAAUGGAGUGUGAAGAGUGGCCAGAUUCGAAAUCUGGAGUCUGCCCGUGUCUCAAUGGUUGGCCAAGUCAAACAGUGUGAAGGAAUUACAAGUCCAGAAGGCUCAAAAUCUAUAGUGGAAGGAAUCAUAGAGGAAGAAGAAGAAGAUGAGGAAGGAAGUGAGUCUAUAAGCAAGAGGAAAAAGGAAGAUGACAUGGAGACCAAGAAAGACCAUCCAUACACCUGGAGAAUUGAACUGGCAAAAACAGAAAAAUACUGGGACGGCUGGUUCCGAGGCUUAUCCAAUCUCUUUCUUAGUUGUCCCAUUCCUAAAUUGCUGCUCUUGGCUGGUGUUGAUAGAUUGGAUAAAGAUCUGACCAUUGGCCAGAUGCAAGGGAAGUUCCAGAUGCAGGUCCUACCCCAGUGUGGCCAUGCAGUCCAUGAGGAUGCCCCUGACAAGGUAGCUGAAGCUGUUGCCACUUUCCUGAUCCGGCACAGGUUUGCAGAACCCAUCGGUGGAUUCCAGUGUGUGUUUCCUGGCUGUUAGUGACCUGCUGUCCACCCCUCCUCAACAUCGAGCUCUGUUGUAAAUACGUCGCACCAGAGGCCACUGUGAUGCCACUGUCUCCUCUCCAUCCCGCCCAGCCAUGUGACACUGGCUCCCUGUAGACGGGCACCCCGAGAUGUACCAACCUUUUCAUGUAUUCUGCCAAAAGCAUUGUUUUCCAGGGCCCUUGACCAACAUUGGCUUCCCCAGUCCAGGGCUCCCCUGCUCCUUUCCCUUCCCUGUACUGGGGUAGCUCCUGCCUGCUCUCCCUGCGUUGCCUAGGGUAAAGCCUCCAGAUUUGCCAUACUGAGCCCCUCUUCCUAGCAUCAGGCGAUACAUCUGAGUUCAAAUGUCUUCCCAGGCUCAGGGACCUCCAUUCCUUGAGAUUGUCUUGGCAUGGCCCAGCCCUGCCUCAUGGGAUGGACAAUGCAUGGGGUGGUCUUUAUUUUUCCCUUUCAAAUAAAACACUAGUCAGGUACCGUUUUAUCCCAGUCGUACUCUUCUAGGUUUGGAAGACCCAGAGAGGCCAAGAUCCCAUCCUUAGCCAUAGCGAGCGGUGGUGGUGGAUAGCAUCACAAGAAACGAGCCUGAAAAUCAGGUCCAGCCAGUCCAAGCACAUGGCCUCCCAUCUGGGAGAGCCCACUGUCCCACUCCCACAUGUCUGGGCACCUGCCCUGGGCUGAGGCCAGGCUGCUCCAGGGGCCUCCUGAGCCCUCACCUGCCACAGAGCAACCCAGGUUAAAUACAGCCCAUGCACAAAGCCACAGGCCAAAGCCUAUGGAAUUGUUUUUAAUCAUCAAAUUUAACCAUUUUCAUAACUGGUUCCUGGAGGUGUGCAGUGCCCCCUUGCCUCUUCAAACCUACAGCUUCUCUUUGCCAUUUGUGGAUUUCACAUCACUCCACACAGAAACAUUACAGCCUGGCAUCCCCAGUCUUUGCCUUCUUCCAGCUGCCUCGACACAGCACUGUGGCCUGUCCCUGUUGCCCAGGCACGCCAUUUCCAAGGGCAGGAAGGGGCAGUGUCCUGAAGCCCAUCUUUUCUGUGACUGUCUUAGGUGAUGUGUAGCCCCCUCCACCUUUCCACUCAACAACCUCCCACCCCUGUCCUGCUGCAUGGUCCGGAGUCUGGGACCUACUUUGUUUUUUGUUAUUUAUGACCUUGUUUAAAGAAAAUAAAUAUCUCCCAACCUUUA
rnacentral:sRNA from 1 species